rnacentral:lncRNA from 1 species
GCUCUGGAGGAAACUGGCAGGUGCGCUGCGGUAGAACUCACCGAUAAUCGCCUCGUGUUAAGGCCUUCCUACGCUCCAGCCACAGACGGGACCAAGGACUCUCGCCCAUGUGGGGACUACCCAGCUCCCCCUCUCCCCUGCCCUCUCCUCCCUUCGGCUCCAGAGAUGACUGAUCUCAAGUCUUCCAUGGUGUCCAGCAGUGUCUGGGAUGCCUGGGACUGAGAACCUGUUACCUAGAACUGCCCCUUGUUCACCCCCCUCCCCCACAGAGCUGGGAUUCCGUGGAUUCACACAGCCAGACACUUACCUGGGGCCCCCGUGGAAAGCAUGCGGCAGUUCUUCUGCAUCUGCCCUCCCAGAGCACCGAAACUCUGGCGGGAUGUGGGUCUUCUCCCACUCCCUUUGUUUCCCCACGCCCACUGCCCAACAAGUUGACACAAUGUAGAACCAUCUGGAAGAUGUUCUCCAUGAAGGCUUGUCUAGAUUAAGCUGACUUGUGGGCGUGUCUGGCGGCGGUAUUGUUUUACGUUAAUCGAUAUGGAAGAUACAGCCCAUUGUGGUCAGUGUUAUUCCAUGGCCUCUCUCCCUCUUUCUACCUUCUCUUUCCCCCUGCCUUUCUACAAUAAAGCUCUAAAACC